UGGGGAAUUUUGGACAAUGGGCGCAAGCCUGAUCCAGCAAUGCCGCGUGCAGGAUGAAGGCCUUCGGGUUGUAAACUGCUUUUGUACGGAACGAAAAGGCUCUGGUUAAUACCUGGAGCAUAUGACGGUACCGUAAGAAUAAGCACCGGCUAACUACGUGCCAGCAGCCGCGGUAAUACGUAGGGUGCGAGCGUUAAUCGGAAUUACUGGGCGUAAAGCGUGCGCAGGCGGUUUUGUAAGACAGAGGUGAAAUCCCCGGGCUCAACCUGGGAACUGCCUUUGUGACUGCAAGGCUGGAGUGCGGCAGAGGGGGGAUGGAAUUCCGCGUGUAGCAGUGAAAUGCGUAGAUAUGCGGAGGAACACCGAUGGCGAAGGCAAUCCCCUGGGCCUGCACCUGGACGCUCAUGCACGAAAGCGU
rnacentral:rRNA from 1 species